UCCCUGGUGGCCUAGUGGCUAAGACACUGUGCUCCCAAUGCAAGGGGCCCGGGUUCGAUCCCUGGUUGGGGAA
rnacentral:tRNA from 1 species